CCGUGCUAAGCGGGGAGGUAGCGGUGCCCUGUACUCGCAAUCCGCUAUAGCGAGGCCGAACUCCCUCUCGAGGUAUUUUGAAUUUAAGGUCUGCCCCAAGGGCGUGGUGUUGACGUCUUGGUCCUGCGCAACAGGGACCCACGAACCCUGUCAGGUCCGGAAGGAAGCAGCAGUAAGUGGUCAUCCUUGUGUGCCGCGGGGCAACCUGGGCCGAGCCACAAACUUGGGUCACGCUUAGGUUCAAUCUAUCAACAGAGGGUGCACGG
rnacentral:SRP_RNA from 1 species